rnacentral:rRNA from 1 species
UACGUAGGUGGCAAGCGUUGUCCGGAUUUACUGGGCGUAAAGAGCGCGCAGGCGGUCGUUCAAGUCGCGUGUGAAAGCCCCCGGCUCAACUGGGGAGGGUCACGCGAUACUGAUCGACUCGAAGGCAGGAGAGGGUAGUGGAAUUCCCGGUGUAGUGGUGAAAUGCGUAGAUAUCGGGAGGAACACCAGUGGCGAAGGCGACUUCCUGGCCUGUUCUUGACGCUGAGGCGCGAAAGCAUGGGGAGCGAACGGG